GCCUCCGAUAAUUGGAAAGGAUUGCCGCAACUGCCGGCCUAAAUUGAUGGUGUUUUUCCUUUUUUUUUCCCAGCUGUAACUAACGACCAUUAACAUAGCCCUUGAGGAUUGUCUAAAUUGGCCUUUAAUCUAGAUGGUCAGAUCUGAUCGGCACUUAGGUAUUUGAUUUUGGAUUACUAGGGUACCGUAAAAAUCCUCCCGUAAUAUGGACUUGGGACUUGAAUCCGAUGGGAAAUCCAGUAGAAAAAAUGUUUCAUAAUUUUAUUGUAACCAAAAGGUCAUACGCACAGUGGUGUUGAUAAAUUGAAGGUGAUUCUUUGGUACCUAAGAAUUUACGCAUGCAAGCAUUUAUGGGUGUAAGAAUUUGCAAAGCUCACGGCAUAAUUGACUACUUCCUCCGAUACAUA
rnacentral:lncRNA from 1 species